UAGGGAAUCUUCGGCAAUGGACGAAAGUCUGACCGAGCAACGCCGCGUGAGUGAAGAAGGUUUUCGGAUCGUAAAACUCUGUUGUUAGAGAAGAACAAGGACGUUAGUAACUGAACGUCCCCUGACGGUAUCUAACCAGAAAGCCACGGCUAACUACGUGCCAGCAGCCGCGGUAAUACGUAGGUGGCAAGCGUUGUCCGGAUUUAUUGGGCGUAAAGCGAGCGCAGGCGGUUUCUUAAGUCUGAUGUGAAAGCCCCCGGCUCAACCGGGGAGGGUCAUUGGAAGCUUGGAGACUUGAGUGCAGAAGAGGGGAGUGGAAUUCCAUGUGUAGCGGUGAACUGCGUAGAUAUAUGGAGGAACACCAGUGGCGAAUGCGGCUCUCUGGUCUGUAACUGACGCUGAGGCUCGAAAGCGUGGGGAGCAAACAGG
rnacentral:rRNA from 1 species